UACGGGGGGGGGCAAGCGUUGUUCGGAAUUACUGGGCGUAAAGGGCUCGUAGGUGGCCAACUAAGUCAGACGUGAAAUCCCUCGGCUUAACCGGGGAACUGCGUCUGAUACUGGAUGGCUUGAGUUUGGGAGAGGGAUGCGGAAUUCCAGGUGUAGCGGUGAAAUGCGCAGAUAUCAGGAGGAACACCGAUGGCGAAAGGCAGUUCUCUGGGCCGUAACUGGACGCUGAGGAGCGAAAGCGUUG
rnacentral:rRNA from 1 species